GCCGGGUGCAGUGGCCCACACCUGUGAUCCCAGCGACUCGGGAGGCUGAGGCAGGAGGAUCCCAAGUUCAAAGCCAGCCUCAGCAAAAGUGAGGUGCUAAGCAACUCAGUGAGACCCUGUCUCUA
rnacentral:sRNA from 1 species